rnacentral:piRNA from 1 species
UUUUGAACAAUCGGAAACACA